rnacentral:rRNA from 1 species
UACGGAGGAUGCGAGCGUUAUCCGGAUUUAUUGGGUUUAAAGGGUGCGUAGGCGGAUCGUUAAGUCAGUGGUCAAAUUGAGGGGCUCAACCCCUUCCCGCCAUUGAAACUGGCGGCCUCGAGUGGGCGAGAAGUAUGCGGAAUGCGUGGUGUAGCGGUGAAAUGCAUAGAUAUCACGCAGAACUCCGAUUGCGAAGGCAGCUUACCAGACUGAGUCUGACGCUGAUGCACGAGAGCAUGGGUAGCGAACAGG